CCAACAGGGAUUGCCUCAGUAACGGCGAGUGAAGCGGCAACAGCUCAAAUUUGAAAUCUGACUCUUUCAGGGUCCGAGUUGUAAUUUGUAGAGGAUGCUUCGGGUGCGGCGCCUGUCUAAGUUCCUUGGAACAGGACGUCAUAGAGGGUGAGAAUCCCGUAUGUGACCGGCGAUCAAGCCCAUGUGAAGCUCCUUCGACGAGUCGAGUUGUUUGGGAAUGCAGCUCUAAUUGGGUGGUAAAUUUCAUCUAAAGCUAAAUACUGGCCAGAGACCGAUAGCGCACAAGUAGAGUGAUCGAAAGAUGAAAAGCACUUUGGAAAGAGAGUUAAAAAGUACGUGAAAUUGUUGAAAGGGAAGCGCUUGCAACCAGACUUGCUCGUGGGUGAUCAGCCGCGGUUCUCCGCGGUGCACUCGCCCGUGAUCAGGCCAGCAUCGGUUUGGGCGGUUGGAUAAAGGCCCCGGGAAUGUAGCUCCCUCCGGGGAGUGUUAUAGCCCGGGGUGCAAUGCGGCCAGCCCGGACCGAGGACCGCGCUUCGGCUAGGAUGCUGGCGUAAUGGUUGUAAGCGACCCGUCUUGAAACA
rnacentral:rRNA from 1 species